GGCCUGUUUGGGACACCAUUUAAGUAGGAGUUGAUUUGGGAAUGGACUUAGACUUUAAUUAGUCUAACCUAAGUUUAAAUCCCAUCUCUUUAUUUUCUCCUCCCCGAUUCCUAUUCUUCCUCCCCGAUUCUCUCUGCCCGAAACCCCUCCCUCUCCGGCGAUUUCUCUCCCUGCGAAGGCAAGCGCGCCACCGCCCGCCGGUGUAAGCCUGAUCAAGCCUCUCCCUCUCCCUCUCGAUUUCCUUUUCCUCUCUCGCGCGAACGCCCGACGCCGACACGGUGCAUUCUCCAUCGCGAUCGCAGCCUCGCCGAGUCGCCUGAGGAAGAGCAGCUGGAUAUCGAAGGAUACCCGGCUAUCUCCGGCUGAGAAGGCGUUCUGGUGGCUGUCUUCUAUGAGCGAUCGUCUCUUCGACCGGUUGUUGCGCGCAAUCGAAGGGAUCCGGUUCUAGGGCACAGUGAAGGCCCUGAUUCGCGUCGUCUCCAGCCAGUUGAUCUCCUCGUUCAUCCUCUUCGAUCUGUUUACUGGAAAGUGGUCCGUAUCCAUCCCCCAGUUGGAUCGAAGUGGGUGACACCACCUGGAAGAGUUUAAUCGAGAGGAAGCAUUGGACUAGUAUGUGGUAGAUCUUCCUUGUUGCCGAUCACUGCCCAUUUCCAUUUCUUGGAGUUGUGGAGGUCUCGGCUGAAGAGUUAGGGAUAUGUUGAGCUUCUUGGCCGUGAGUUGUAGGGUUGCUGAGCUAUUGGAAUUGCUGUCAUACUUCAAGGAUUUUAUUUCGAGGCGAGCGUCUCGACGUGGGAUUGGAUUGUCUGACGCGGUCGACAG